GCACCCACAGCGCGCUGCUCCCGCGCCGGGCGCGCUCCUCGCCGCUCCGGAACACGGCAAGCACGGCCACCGGGAAGCGCGUCCAGGAGCCACGCGCCUCGCCGCGCGCGCCCACCGCCACCUGCACCGCUGCGGGGGAGAACUUCUUCAGGCUGAUGCGGUAGCUGCCACGAGCGGGUUUGCAGUGCAAGUCGCAGUCUGGGAGGAGGGAGCAAGAGGAGGUUGGCACAGAUCCCCAUCUCCUUCCCCCCUCCUCCCACCCUCUCCUCCGGCCCUCUGGGAAACCACCGCCCCCUCCCCCCAAGGACAUGCCCCUCUGGGACCUCUGCUCACCCUGGGGCUCCACAGGACUGCUCUCCUCAGUGGGUCCAGGGACAGGGGUCUCUGUGGGGAGGAUAGGAUGAUGGGCUGCAUUUGAAGGGGGUCGGGGGAUCUGCAGGGCUCAGGAGACAAUUGAGGGGAGCCGGGGAUCUGCGGGGCCCAGGUAGGCAGCAGCUCGGAGCUGGGGUGACCUCUGCAAAGGUGGUCCAAGCAGGGCACCGUCACUCACUAACGCAAGGUGCCACCGGAGAGCGGCUCUGCUGGAAGCCAGGAGCACAGCGGUUGCAGGUGAGGCCGGUGACGCCAUCCUUGCAGGGACACUGGCCGGUGGUCUGGUUGCAGGUUUUGCCAGCAGCACCAACAGGGUGACAGUCACAGGCUGAGGACAGAAGUGGGACAGUCAGAAGCCCAUCUGGGGUUGAGGAAACCAGGGAGGGUGAGGCGUGCAGAUGGCUGGCUGAAGGCUCACCCCUGCAGGCGCGGCGGUCACUCAGGGCACGGCCGGGGUCUCGGUAGAAGCCCUCCCGGCAGUAGUGGCAAUGCCGGCCAGCGGUAUUGUGCCGGCAGU